UAUAUUGUUAUUAAAUUUUAGUUUUAAUUUUUCUGUGAAUGAUUUUAGAAGUAAAUUCUUAAUUAUAAAGUAUGUGAAAUCUUAAAUAUACAAGUGAGUAAAUACAUUUUUUACAGAACAUGAAAGAUAUUAUUUAAGUGCUGUUGUUUUGGUCAUAGCGCGAUUAAUGACAAGUUAACAACAAUUAUUGUUACACGUAUACAUUUUCGGGAACCAUAUAUUUUUAAAUACACAAUCAGCUGGCGAUGAAAUAUUACGAUAGCUAUACGGUACUGCAAACCAUGGACGGAUGAAUGACUGUCAACAUUUUUUAGAAAUAAUCAAAUUGUCCAAAAUACUUUGCAAGAUACGAAUGAAAUCAGACGUGGUGUUUCGUUUACUAAUCGAUCAUGAAAUAAUGAAAAUAUUAACUUCUUAAUUUGUACUGGUAUAGAAAAAUAGUAUGAUCUGUCGAUUCGAUUUACUGAGUAUCAUUCAGAUUACCAAAACGUUAAUUCAAAAUAAAAUAAUAUGGGAUGGUAUGCCCGAAAAGGUCUUUGGAUUGCGGCGGUCGAAUCCGGAGAUGUCGUAUAGUAGGUACUCACGUCCGAUUUUAAACGCGUCAGUCAGUCACCGCCGGGCGUCAAUCAAGAUAACUGGCCUAACCCUGAACCUCUAUCACUCGAUGACUACUCGAAUAUUAGGUUACAAUAAUUUGUAAUCGACGCGCUGCAUGCCGUGGUAUACCUGCAGUGUCAUAUAUGGUACACCCAUCUCGCGAAGAUUGAGGAGAUCGAUCUCAUUAUCAUACAUCAUUGAUUAUAAUGAAUAUUAAUACAAAAAGGUCUACCAUCAUUGGCGAUUGUGACUGUAUGGAUAAGUUAGGUAUAUAAUACCAAUACUUUAAGUUCUAACCUAGGGCGUAAUGAUAUUGUGUUCGACUUUUUUUUCUAUAAGAGGAAGAUUUUUUCGAACAGGACGCGUUGGACUGCAAUUUUCAAACACCAUGAAAGUAUUUGAAAGGUGACCGAUUUUACUUUCUGAAUUAUUCACAAAAGUUUAAAAUAUUAUUAUACUAUACUCUGUCAUCGUAGUCUAAGUGUUUUUUUGUGCGAAUAAUACAUAUAGGAAGGUAUAUUAUUAUGUAUAAUACAUUAUAAUAUUCAUGAGUGUAUAUAUACCAACUCACGCUAACCCACUCGACGUCACGUGGAAGCGUAGUAGCGGUUGCAUGUGCAGAGAGUGAACCGAUGAUGGGGUGCAGGAAAGCUCCGGUAAAUAUUUGAAUGACACUCGAGUGGCGCGGAGGGUUCGGUGAGACGUGAACUUGUAAAUGGAAUUAUUAUCAUCGCACAUGAGUCAAAACUUGUCGUGGCAGUGACGGUAUAUAUAGACUGUACACAUAUCUGGAACUCACCAGAUAUAUAUUAUAUGUGAUUGUACACAAUAAUAUAUUGGCAGUGUUUGCCUGUUCUUUGUAUAGGUACUACGUAUUGUCAAUAUUAUUAUAAAGGAGUGGAUGCAAUGGAAUUGGAUUUCAUACCACUCAAGAAAAGAUUUGUCAAACGACAUUGGAAUCUAUAUAGUAAGUUUCCCUUUUGGUAAUGUUACAACGGUAUAACAACUUUCUGCUUUUGAGUUGUGACGUAAUUUAUUUUGAUUAAAAUUGGAACACUAUAGUGAUUUGUACGGAAAUAUGACAAAUUUCUGUGGCCGCAGUUAAACAUUACGGUUGGUUACUUGGAUGUCAGAAUACUGGAAAAUUGAAAUUUAAUUACAACCAUCCGGUACUUGAAUUCACUUCCAGACGACUUGCAUCCGCCAGAGCGACCAUACGAAAUGGAAGUAAAUUUAAUCUAAUAUGUAGCACGUGCAAUACCGGUAACCGAUACCUUGACAAGACACAAGUGAGUUGGGAGUCGGGAUCAAUAAGAGAUGGCUGCGGAUGCAGUAAGUGGUGCGCGAACUCGGCUGUGUAUUAUAUUUUGUAUUAUUAUCAUUCAACAACUUGGCAUCGUUUUCAAUCUCAAUCGAAGCCUAGUUUACUGAAUUAGAAAAAUAAUACAUCGUUUUUUAAACACAUUCCAUAUUAUCAAUGUUAUAUAAUAUGUAAUAAUUAUAUGCUUAGUGCUUACUUUCUUUGAUAUUAUUCGUCUUGUACCAGGAUUACUGCAGUAGGGUGAUUUUUGACAAUCGUAUACGCUUACCUUAUGUUAGGUUACCUAUAUAAUAUUGUUUAACUGCAUUUUCUUUCAAACUUCAGCGUAUAUAUGGUGUAUAAUAAAAAAACUUUUAAUAAAAUAUAUAAACCACCAUCAUAUUAUGGUAAUACACUUACACUUACAAACGGUGUACAUGAAGAUACGCUAAUAUUUAAAAAAUAUAUUGAACCAUCGCAGUAACCAAUAUUAUUAAGCACUUUCAGCUCAGUAAAAAUUUAUUUCAAAUCAGUAUUUGACGCCAAGCAUCAAAUGGCGUCAAUCGCGCCACUAAACGGUCCCAAGGAUGCCUGAA